rnacentral:lncRNA from 1 species
UCGGGAAAUAUUUGUGACGCCCCCAAAAUAGGUAUACAUCACCCAUUUUGAGUCGCCAAAUAAAUGGUACAAAAAUCAAAUACAACAUAAUUAUACAACUGUCGUGUAAAACAUAAACUGAGAGUUUAAACAAGAAUAUUGCCUUCUAGACAAUAUUUAUUCUCAAUGGAGUCCUCAUAGACAAUAUACAAACUCAAAUUCAGUCCUCAUUAUAUUUAUUAUCACACUAUUUAACAGAAUAGUGAGGACUACUAAUGCUAUCAUCUGGACUGUCAAUCUGUUCUCCGACUCGUCCCAGUUAUAUUCUCAUUUCCUGAAGAGAACAGUGAAGAAAGGGUGACUCGUCCCAGCUAU